AGAAUCAUCAUAUUAUUAGGAUGUGGUGCUUUAUUCCAAAUAAAGGAGUAAAUGUCACUGUGUCUCAUCCUUCAGAAAAGACAAUUAGAUGGAAAUACUCAACUCAUUCUCAGUUAAGCAGAAUUAUCAACAAGCCAGAAUGUCACAAUAAGAAAGCAGGCAGUAGACAGGAUGGAGAGUUCUCCUAAAUGCUCUGCCCUCU
rnacentral:lncRNA from 1 species